CAUCCCGGAUAUCUAGCCCGGAUAAGUUUAACUUGCACGUCCACAGUAGACCAUUCUCACAUGCACAAAUGGCUAGUAGUUCGAAAUGUGAGGUGUUAUGCUGCCAGAUCGUGGGAAUUGCGCUUUCUCUGCGAUCAGUUACCACACUGAAAAUCGACUUUCUCGAGAAACAAUUGACUCCAGAAAAAGCUUUUCGUAAUGCAACUAUCAUACAAGACGGGAGAGAUUCUAGAUGAGUAACCUGGAUAACUUCCAUUGUUGCACCUGCCAGAAGACGAAUUACAUGUGUGGUUUAGGCAUAAUUCACCUAUGUUUCGAUUAAUUAACAUUUUCUGGAUCUCGAUAAGGUACUUGCAUGCAAUGUCUCGGUUGUAUGUACUGCACUUGUAAGUCAAAGAAGGUUUGAAUUUUUUGUUCAUCUUUCGAGAUUCUCCACAGAGUUACACAGAAAGUGCCUUUUCUUCAGGGAGCUGUCGUGACCAGUUUUCUGAAGAAAUGAGUGCAACUAAGUUUGUAUAGCUGCAUUGCAUUUUGACUCGUAGUGCUUUUAGCUAUUGUACUUUGUACAUUUGAUAGAUUAUUUGAAGGAUUGUUUGGGAGACCAGCCAUGCUGAAAAAGAUUUCUGAAUAAAUUUGCAACAUGA